AUUAAACGCUGGCGGCAGGCUUAACACAUGCAAGUCGAGCGGAGCGAGGGUGCUUGCACCUUAGCUUAGCGGCGGACGGGUGAGUAAUGCUUAGGAAUCUGCCUAUUAGUGGGGGACAACAUCCCGAAAGGAAUGCUAAUACCGCAUACGUCCUACGGGGGAAAGCAGGGGAUCUUCGGACCUUGCGCUAAUAGAUGAGCCUAAGUCGGAUUAGCUAGUUGGUGGGGUAAAGGCCUACCAAGGCGACGAUCUGUAGCGGGUCUGAGAGGAUGAUCCGCCACACUGGGACUGAGACACGGCCCAGACUCCUACGGGAGGCAGCAGUGGGGAAUAUUGGACAAUGGGCGGAAGCCUGAUCCAGCCAUGCCGCGUGUGUGAAGAAGGCCUUUUGGUUGUAAAGCACUUUAAGCGAGGAGGAGGCUACUAGUAUUAAUACUACUGGAUAGUGGACGUUACUCGCAGAAUAAGCACCGGCUAACUCUGUGCCAGCCGCCGCCGUAACAC
rnacentral:rRNA from 1 species